rnacentral:miRNA from 1 species
ACCACUCCCACAAACGUCUACGACCGCGCCUACAUAGUUUUGCAUGUUUACAAUCCUAAUUUUGAACAGCGAAUCAGGUUCUUGGUAACAAUUACAAUUAAACGUCGAUUGGCUGGUUAAAAUUAGAAUUGUAAACAUGCAAAAAUAUGUAGGCGCGGUCGUAGACGUUUGUGGGAGUGGU